GAGUUUGAUCCUGGCUCAGAAUCAACGCUGGCGGCGUGCCUAACACAUGCAAGUCGAACGAGAAAGUGGAGCAAUCCAUGAGUAAAGUGGCGACCGGGUGAGUAACACGUGACUAACCUACCCUUGAGUGGGGGAUAACCUCGGGAAACCGGGGCUAAUACCGCAUAACAUCCUUGAAGUGGAAACUUUGGGGAUCAAAGGAGCAAUUCGCUUAAGGAGGGGGUCGCGGCUGAUUAGCUAGUUGGCGGGGUAACGGCCCACCAAGGCUUUGAUCGGUAGCCGGCCUGAGAGGGCGCACGGCCACACUGGAACUGAAACACGGUCCAGACUCCUACGGGAGGCAGCAGUGGGGAAUUUUGCGCAAUGGGGGAAACCCUGACGCAGCAACGCCGCGUGGAGGAUGAAGUCCCUUGGGACGUAAACUCCUUUCGACCGGGACGAUAAUGACGGUACCGGUGGAAGAAGCCCCGGCUAACUUCGUGCCAGCAGCCGCGGUAAUACGAGGGGGGCAAGCGUUGUUCGGAAUUAUUGGGCGUAAAGGGCGCGUAGGCGGUCAGCACAAGUCAGUUGUGAAAUCUCCGGGCUUAACUCGGAAAGGUCAACUGAUACUGUGCGACUAGAGUGCGGAAGGGGCAACUGGAAUUCUCGGUGUAGCGGUGAAAUGCGUAGAUAUCGAGAGGAACACCUGCGGCGAAGGCGGGUUGCUGGGCCGACACUGACGCUGAUGCGCGAAAGCCAGGGGAGCGAACGGGAUUAGAUACCCCGGUAGUCCUGGCCUUAAACGAUGGAUGCUUGGUGUCUGGGGUUUUAUAGUCCCCGGGUGCCGUAGCUAACGCGUUAAGCAUCCCGCCUGGGGAGUACGGUCGCAAGACUGAAACUCAAAGGAAUUGACGGGGACCCGCACAAGCGGUGGAGCAUGUGGUUCAAUUCGACGCAACGCGAAGAACCUUACCAGGGCUAGAAUGCCUCUGACAACCCUAGAGAUAGGGCUUCUUAGGGAAACCUAGGCAGAGUGCAAGGUGCUGCAUGGCUGUCGUCAGCUCGUGUCGUGAGAUGUUGGGUUAAGUCCCGCAACGAGCGCAACCCUUAUCGAUAGUUGCUAGCGGUUCGGCCGAGCACUCUAUUGAGACUGCCGUUGACAAAACGGAGGAAGGUGGGGAUGACGUCAAGUCCUCAUGGCCUUUAUGUCCUGGGCUACACACGUGCUACAAUGGCCGGUACAAAGCGCUGCAAACUCGCGAGAGGGAGCCAAUCGCAAAAAACCGGUCUCAGUUCGGAUUGCAGUCUGCAACUCGACUGCAUGAAGUCGGAAUCGCUAGUAAUCGCUGAUCAGCAGGCAGCGGUGAAUACGUUCCCGGGCCUUGCACACAC
rnacentral:rRNA from 1 species